rnacentral:rRNA from 1 species
UACGUAGGGUGCGAGCGUUAAUCGGAAUUACUGGGCGUAAAGCGUGCGCAGGCGGUUCGUUGUGUCUGAUGUGAAAGCCCCGGGCUCAGCCUGGGAAUGGCAUUGGAAACUGGCGAGCUAGAGUGUGGCAGAGGGGGGUGGAAUUCCGCGUGUAGCAGUGAAAUGCGUAGAGAUGCGGAGGAACACCGAUGGCGAAGGCAGCCCCCUGGGCUGACACUGACGCUCAGGCACGAAAGCGUGGGGAGCAAACAGG